UCACGUUUCCGUAGAAUAGAACCCGCCUACAUGUUCACAGGGUGUAACGGACGUUUUGAGGCAGACUUCACUGUACAUCAUGUCGUGGUGAAACAGUUAUGUUGGUAUUAGAGUGACUAAGUAAGUAAAUUUUGUGCUUUUGAACUGUAUUUUAGUUACACCAUGGCGUGCUGAUAUGAGUGCGAGGUGCCCUAUUAGAUGCGGAUAGAACGUAAAAUAUGAUGAAGGAAAACCCACGAUCAAAGGCAGCGACGAUAGAUGACUAAUCCUUCAAGAAUCCGCAUUCCAGCUACCAGUAAUACACGAUCGGCUGUGUUGAUUCAAUUUUUCAAGUAAAAUUCUAUUUCUUUGAAAAUGUAUUCCAGUUUUAACAAUUGUAUAUCAAUAAAGGCAACCGUUUGAUAUGUAA